rnacentral:rRNA from 1 species
UACGUAGGGACCGAGCGUUGUCCGGAAUCAUUGGGCGUAAAGAGCGUGUAGGCGGCCACUUAAGUCCUGCGUGAAAUCUUGCGGCUCAACCGCAAGCGGUCGUGGGAAACUGGGUGGCUAGAGUGCGGGAGAGGAGAGUGGAAUUCCUGGUGUAGCGGUGGAAUGCGCAGAUAUCAGGAAGAACACCCGUGGCGAAGGCGGCUCUCUGGGUCGGCCCUGACGCUGAGGCGCGAAAGCGUGGGGAGCGAACGGG